rnacentral:rRNA from 1 species
UACGAAGGGGGCUAGCGUUGCUCGGAAUUACUGGGCGUAAAGGGCGCGUAGGCGGACAGUUUAGUCAGAGGUGAAAGCCCAGGGCUCAACCUUGGAAUUGCCUUUGAUACUGGCUGUCUUGAGUUCGGGAGAGGUGAGUGGAAUGCCGAGUGUAGAGGUGAAAUUCGUAGAGAUCCGGAGGAACACCAAAGGCGAAGGCAGUGUCCUGGGAAGUACCUGACGCUCAGGUGCGAAAGCCAGGGGAGCGAACGGG